rnacentral:lncRNA from 1 species
AAUAAAGAAAGGAUUGUACGGUCUAUCUUUUACAAAAGUAGUUAGAUUAUUUUUCCUUCAAUAAAAAUAAUGCACAAUCGUUUUAAAAUGCAGACAUUUGUAAAUAAUCGAACUGGACAACAUAUCUCAUUGCCUAGAAAGAAGACCGUAGUUUCAAACUAAAUCAACCAGAUAGUCCAUGGUUUACCCUGCCCUAUUAAAAAUUUUUAAAAAUAAUAUUUUAAUUAUACUUUGCGUGCCCGCCCCGCUCCGCCCCAUUAAAAUCUUUCAUGCCCCGGCCCAUUUAA